rfam:TPA: Bos taurus chromosome 13, whole genome shotgun sequence.
UCCCUGGUUGUCCAGUGGCUUAGACUCUGUGCUCGUAAUGCAGGGUGCCCAGGUUCAAUCCCUGGUCAGGGAA